rnacentral:lncRNA from 1 species
AGGUACGUCGAACCGUCGGACCGAGGAAGGGCCCAAGCGCUGCCAUGUGUCAACAUCCGAAAAAUCCUCGUUCGACGCACUUUCAUCUCGACCGUCGAAGGGCCUUAUAUAUAUAUGGCCACUCGUAUCCAAAGCUUCACUUUUUACUAUCCUGUUUCUGGCACUGAGGCCCUGUCGAGUUGUCUCCCAGUCCCAAGUAGCUGUUUCCGUCCUCCUUCUUUGAAAGCUCUUCUCGAAGCUUUUCAUUCUUGUCCCCUUGUAUUUUCGCUUCCUUUGCAUUCUCCUUUUUAUUCUCUUUCCUUGGGGCUAGCGUUAU